GGACGAUUAGCUUAGUGGUAGAGCGCCUCGUUCACACCGAGGAGGUCGGGGGUUCAAAUCCCUCAUCGUCCACCA
rnacentral:tRNA from 1 species